GCAGACACAUUCCAGCCAAUCAGCAGCAGACCCUCCCUCCCAGAUCCUCCCACCUCCUGGACAGCAUCCAUUUUACAUUCAUUGUUACAUUCUUAGUGAGCUGUCUAGGAGGUGGGAGGGUCUGGGAGGGAGGGUCUGCUGCUGAUUGGCUGGAAUGUGUCUG
rnacentral:miRNA from 1 species